AGCAGCCGCGGUAAUUCCAGCUCCAAUAGCGUAUAUUAAAGUUGUUGCAGUUAAAAAGCUCGUAGUUGAAUUUCAGGCCUGGCUGGACGGUCCGCCCUUCGGGUGAGUACUGUCUGUGGUCGGGUCCUACCUUCUGGCGAAGCGUCAUGGCCUUAACCGGCCGUGGCGGGGAACCAGGACUUUUACUGUGAAAAAUUAGAGUGUUCAAAGCAGGCAAUCGCUUGGAUACAUUAGCAUGGAAUAAUGGAAUAGGACAAUGGUUCUAUUUGUUGGUUUCUAGGACCGUUGUAAUGAUUAAUAGGGAUAGUUGGGGGCAUUAGUAUUCAAUUGUCAGAGGUGAAAUUCUUGGAUUUAUUGAAGACUAACUACUGCGAAAGCAUUUGCCAAGGAUGUUUUCAUUAAUCAAGAACGAAAGUUAGGGGAUCGAAGACGAUCAGAUACCGUCGUAGUCUUAACCAUAAACUAUGCCGACUAGGGAUCGGAUG
rnacentral:rRNA from 1 species